rnacentral:tRNA from 1 species
GCUUAGGUGGCUUAGCUGGUUAAGCACCUGCCUGCUGCUCAGGUCAUGAUCCUGGGGUCCUGGGAUCAAGCCCCACACUGAGCU